rnacentral:rRNA from 1 species
UAGGGAAUAUUGGACAAUGGGUGAGAGCCUGAUCCAGCCAUGCCGCGUGUGUGAAGAAGGUCUUCGGAUUGUAAAGCACUUUAAGUUGGGAGGAAGGGCAGUUACCUAAUACGUAUCUGUUUUGACGUUACCGACAGAAUAAGCACCGGCUAACUCUGUGCCAGCAGCCGCGGUAAUACAGAGGGUGCAAGCGUUAAUCGGAAUUACUGGGCGUAAAGCGCGCGUAGGUGGUUUGUUAAGUUGGAUGUGAAAUCCCCGGGCUCAACCUGGGAACUGCAUUCAAAACUGACAAGCUAGAGUAUGGUAGAGGGUGGUGGAAUUUCCUGUGUAGCGGUGAAAUGCGUAGAUAUAGGAAGGAACACCAGUGGCGAAGGCGACCACCUGGACUGAUACUGACACUGAGGUGCGAAAGCGUGGGGAGCAAACAGGAUUAGAUACCCCAGUAGUCCCUGAGCGGGCUGGCAAGGCGCAU